UUGCGGAGCUGCUUCCGCCGGGGGAGAGGAAUCCGCGUGCUUCGUAUUGAGGGGACUUUAAUCUAUGGAGCACGGCCGGGAGUCGCCGUGCAUUCUUCGGAAACAGCUCUCAGGACUUUAGAAACCACUCCCGGGAGUUUAGAAACCUCUCCUGGGGCUGGAGAAACGGCUCCCGGGACGCCCACCCGAGGAGCCUGACCCUGGGCCCGCUCGCAGCCGCGGGAGGGGCGGCGGGUUGCAGGGGUGCACUGUGCCCGGGCGUCCCCAUCGGCCGUGCACAGGCUUGUUCGGGGUGCCAGCGCACACGAGCCCAUCGGCGUAAACUGAAUUGUAUUACUCUUUUUUUUUCUUCUCCCACUCAGAAAAUGAACUAUUCAGACCCCAGCGACUGGACGACAUCACGCAAUAACUCCUUUCUCUUCUGAGGAGAGUUUCGAGUGACCUCAGCUGGGGUCACCAGGUCAUCUGACUGGAAGGUUGGUAUGUGUGUCCUGUAUGAGAACCUAACCCUGCUGCGUGCACCUGGACCUGUUGGGUUUGACUCUGACGUGCUUUUUGACGUAAAUAAAUGGGGUUUGACCAUA